UCCUAUAUGAUGCCUUUCCUC
rnacentral:miRNA from 1 species